GAUGAACGCUGGCGGCGUGCUUAACUCAUGCAAGUCGAACGAUGAAGCCCAGCUUGCUGGGUGGAUUAGUGGCGAACGGGUGAGUAACACGUGAGUAACCUGCCCUUAACUCUGGGAUAAGCCUGGGAAACUGGGUCUAAUACCGGAUAGGAGCGCCUACCGCAUGGUGGGUGUUGGAAAGAUUUAUCGGUUUUGGAUGGACUCGCGGCCUAUCAGCUUGUUGGUGAGGUAAUGGCUCACCAAGGCGACGACGGGUAGCCGGCCUGAGAGGGUGACCGGCCACACUGGGACUGAGACACGGCCCAGACUCCUACGGGAGGCAGCAGUGGGGAAUAUUGCACAAUGGGCGAAAGCCUGAUGCAGCGACGCCGCGUGAGGGAUGACGGCCUUCGGGUUGUAAACCUCUUUCAGUAGGGAAGAAGCGAAAGUGACGGUACCUGCAGAAGAAGCACCGGCUAACUACGUG
rnacentral:rRNA from 1 species